UCAUUGGUGGUCAGGUGGUAGAAUUUUCACCUUCCAUUGUGGGAGACCCGGGUUCGAUUCCCGGCCAAUGCA
rnacentral:tRNA from 1 species